rnacentral:rRNA from 1 species
AAUAGAUACCCUGGUAGUCCACGCCCUAAACGAUGUCGACUGGUUGUUGGGGGUUUGACACUCUCAGUAACGAAGCUAACGCGUGAAGUCGACCGCCUGGGGAGUACGGCCGCAAGGUUAAAACUCAAAGGAAUUGACGGGGACCCGCACAAGCGGUGGAUUAUGUGGAUUAAUUCGAUGCAACGCGAAAAACCUUACCUACCCUUGACAUGUCCGGAAGGCUGCUGAAAGGCGGCUGUGCCCGAAAGGGAACUGGAACACAGGUGCUGCAUGGCUGUCGUCAGCUCGUGUCGUGAGAUGUUGGGUUAAGUCCCGCAACGAGCGCAACCCUUGUCAUUAGUUGCUACAUUCAGUUGGGCACUCUAAUGAGACUGCCGGUGACAAACCGGAGGAAGGUGGGGAUGACGUCAAGUCCUCAUGGCCCUUAUGGGUAGGGCUUCACACGUAAUACAAUGGCGCGUACAGAGGGCUGCUAAGCCGCAAGGUAGAGCCAAUCCCUUAAAGCGCGUCGUAGUCCGGAUUGCAGUCUGCAA